rnacentral:misc_RNA from 1 species
GGAAGUAAAGUCGUAACAAGGUCUCCGUUGGUGAACCCGCGGAGGGAUCAUUAUCGAGUUUAUAACUCCCAAACCCUAUGUGAACUUACCACUUGUUGCUUCGGCGCGCGCUUCGGUGCCGCCGAGGACACUUAAACUCUUUGUUUUUAUAAGCAUUUCUGAGUGGCCGAAAGGCAAAAUACAAAUGAAUCAAAACUUUCAACAACGGAUCUCUUGGUUCUG